rnacentral:rRNA from 1 species
AUACGUAGGGGGCAAGCGUUAUCCGGAAUCACUGGGCGUAAAGCGUGCGUAGGCGGCCAAUAAAGUCUGGGGUGAAAGGCUACGGCUUAACCGUAGUAAGCCUUGGAAACUUAUUGGCUUGAGUGCAGGAGAGGAGAGUGGAAUUCCUAGUGUAGCGGUGAAAUGCGUAGAUAUUAGGAGGAACACCAGUGGCGAAGGCGACUCUCUGGACUGUAACUGACGCUGAGGUACGAAAGCGUGGGGAGCGAACAGGAUUAGAUACCCUGGUAGUCCACGCCGUAAACGAUGAGUGCUAGGUGUCGGAGGUUCAUACCUUCGGUGCCGCAGUUAACGCAUUAAGCACUCCGCCUGGGGAGUACGGUCGCAAGACUGAA